CCUCGGCCCAUAUAGAAAACCUAUCCGAGGGGGUCGCACGUACGCUCUCCACAAACGGAGGUGCUUCCAGCAGCAGCGAACGCGCUGCCUCUUCCUAGAUCUCCGCCGCCGCCGCCGCCGCCUGGGCUCAAUGCCGUCACUGCCGCUGGACUCGACACCACCUCAGCCUCCUGGACUGGACUGGCGACCUCUGUCUCCAGCAUCCUCUCCUCCAGACGGCAGGACCCGAUUGAAUAAUGUCAAAAGCCCGAAAGGCCUGCGGUGGACAUUGUCAUUACCUGAAGAUAGCUGACUGAAUACUGUGACAUCUCCUGGAACAUCAAACAAGGCAAUGUUGGAGAAGAUGGUGUCCCAGAUCACAUAACAGAGAUUGUGCAGAGCACUAUGGAUAUCUACUUUACUGACAGGGAAUUUAGGCGUAAUACAUAGUGCUUUUUCUGAAUGUUUGCGGGGAGCUCGGUUAGUGUCGAUGCCUCAAGGGUUUAUGAAUAACAGUUCAAUGUUGCUUAAAGGCAUUGUAAUGCUGGCUACUGGUUUCCAGAUAAUGAGGAGUUAGCAAGGGGAGUUUCUGAUUGCAGAGAAUUGGUGAUGCUUUUGCUUCAGGAUACUUAAUUGCAUGGCCUUGAGCUUUUAUUCAAAAGAAGGAUAAUUGAGUUGCAGCUGAAUUCUUUGGCUGGAUCAAGCAGCAAAGAAGAUUUUACUUAGCAAUACCUGUAGUUUACAUUGAUAGAUUGAAAAAUGUAAUAUCAUUCCCAAGAUCUUUUUCUUUGGUCGAAUUGAUGCAUCUGCUAUGGUGUAAUAUUCUACAUAGUUGUGUUCUCUAUAGUCAAAUUGAUAUGAAUGAUAUUUUGUUGCACCAAUAAUAUUGGUAUUUGUUUAUUGUAAUGCAUAUGUAUCCUACACUCUUCUAUAUAAUAAAUAUAUUGAUAUUUUUAA